GGGGGCCCGCAAGCGGUGGAGCAUGUGGUUUAAUUCGAUGCAACGCGAAGAACCUUACCUGCUCUUGACAUCCACGGAAGACUGCAGAGAUGCGGUUGUGCCUUCGGGAACCGUGAGACAGGUGCUGCAUGGCUGUCGUCAGCUCGUGUUGUGAAAUGUUGGGUUAAGUCCCGCAACGAGCGCAACCCUUAUCCUUUGUUGCCAGCGAUUCGGUCGGGAACUCAAAGGAGACUGCCGGUGAUAAACCGGAGGAAGGUGGGGAUGACGUCAAGUCAUCAUGGCCCUUACGAGCAGGGCUACACACGUGCUACAAUGGCGCAUACAAAGAGAAGCGACCUCGCGAGAGCAAGCGGACCUCAUAAAGUGCGUCGUAGUCCGGAUCGGAGUCUGCAACUCGACUCCGUGAAGUCGGAAUCGCUAGUAAUCGUGGAUCAGAAUGCCACGGUGAAUACGUUCCCGGGGCCUUGUACACACC
rnacentral:rRNA from 1 species